rfam:Oryza nivara chromosome 6, whole genome shotgun sequence.
AAAAAGACAAACCAUGGGUUUCCGUAUCCAACUUUGACUGUCCGUCUUAUAUGAAAUUUUUUUAUAAUUAAUAUUUUAUGCGUGACUUGUCUUUUUAAUUUUUUUCAUAAUUUUUUCAAAUAAGACGGACAGCCAAACAUUAGACAUGGAAACCAGGGUUUGUCUUUUU